rnacentral:rRNA from 1 species
UACGUAGGGUGUAAGCGUUGUCCGGAAUUAUUGGGCGUAAAGAGCUCGUAGGCGGUCUGUCGCGUCGGCUGUGAAAACUCGGGGCUCAACCCCGAGCCUGCAGUCGAUACGGGCAGACUAGAGUUCGGUAGGGGAGACUGGAAUUCCUGGUGUAGCGGUGAAAUGCGCAGAUAUCAGGAGGAACACCGGUGGCGAAGGCGGGUCUCUGGGCCGAAACUGACGCUGAGGAGCGAAAGCGUGGGGAGCGAACAGG